GGGGAUUUAGCUCAGGGGUAGAGCGCGCGCUUCGCAUGCGUGAGGCCGGGGGUUCGAUUCCCUCAAUCUCCA
rnacentral:tRNA from 1 species